CACGUAGGGUGCGAGCGUUUGUCCGGAAUUAUUGGGCGUAAAGAGCUCGUAGGCGGUUUGUUGCGUCGGCUGUGAAAUCCCGAGGCUCAACCUCGGGUCUGCAGUCGAUACGAGCAAACUAGAGUGUUGCAGGGGAGACUGGAAUUCCUGGUGUAGCGGUGAAAUGCGUAGAGAUCAUGAGGAAGACCAGUGGCGAAGGCGGGUCUCUGGACAGUUCCUGACACUGAGACACGGAAGGCCAGGGGAGCAAACGGG
rnacentral:rRNA from 1 species